GUCUCUCUCUGUAUCCUACAGGUCCAAGAAACUAACUUGGGAAAGAAGAGGGGAAGUUCUUAUUUUCACAUGCUGAAUAAAUUACCAGAAAUAGAACUUGGCUCAGAACCUCAAAUAUCUUCAGACCAAGAACAACUAUGCUGGAGAAGCUGUAUUUCCUUGACCGUCACUGAGGAGGCUCAUCUGCAUCUGGAAUGAAUUAAGAUAUCAGUGUCCUAUUUUGACUGCAUGUUCAGAAAUGAGACUUUGGGAAGUCUUAGCAGAGGGGUCUCACUCUGUGGUCCAGACUGGAGUGCCAUGGUGUAAUCACAAC